CAAAAAUCAGCGGGAAGAUAGUUGGCGGCAAAUAUCUGCUCAAAUUAAUAUGCCUGUCAAGGAAGUGAAAAACAAAAUGGUGUCCUUGUGUGGUUCUUAUCGUCGAGAGAAAAGCAGGGAGAAAAAAAGUCGCAUAACAGGUUCAGGCGCUGCAGAUGUUUAUAAUUCGAAGUGGUUUGGAUAUCCUUAUUUCCAUUUUCUUAAGGAUAAAAAUGAAACUGGUGACACUCGGGAAACGAUGCCGAAUGAGACAAUACCGGAAUCUUCACAAACUUCUGACGUAGAGAGACACACAGAGGCUGAAAACGCUCCGACCAAGUCGCAAUUGGGUUUUUGAAAAAAAAAAUUAUUGAUUUUUUUUAUGUAUUUUAAAACUUUAUUAUUAAUAAUAUUGAUAUUUAAUGCAAAAAACUUCAAAAAAAUUUUUUUUCAAUUAAUUAUAAACAAUUAAAAAUUGAUGAAAUUUAAAUAAAAAUCACGUGACUAUAAACGCGCCAUGAUUGGUCACCAUAGU